rnacentral:rRNA from 1 species
AGGAAUACCGGUGGCGAAGGCGGCCCCCUGGACAGAUACUGACACUCAGAUGCGAAAGCGUGGGGAGCAAACAGGAUUAGAUACCCUGGUAGUCCACGCCGUAAACGAUGUCUACUUGGAGGUUGUGACCUAGAGUCGUGGCUUUCGGAGCUAACGCGUUAAGUAGACCGCCUGGGGAGUACGGUCGCAAGAUUAAAACUCAAAUGAAUUGACGGGGGCCCGCACAAGCGGUGGAGCAUGUGGUUUAAUUCGAUGCAACGCGA